AGCUUUGCGCAGUGGCAGUAUCGUAGCCAAUGAGGUUUAUCCGAGGCGCGAUUAUUGCUAAUCAGUAAUUACUUUAAGUGUAGAUGGAUUAAACUUCCUAAUCAAAAGACAUAGAAUUGCUGAAUGGAUUAAAGGGGAAAC